CGGUGGAUGCGGCUUCUCGCUUCCCGCGGAGGCCCCGCCCCCUGUUGCUCCUUCGCUCCAAUCGGCAACUCUCCCGGGCGCCGGCUCCGCCCCCUCCUUCCCGGCCGCGCCUCGUUCGGAUCAGACGGCCAGGCCAGAGGAGUCGAGCUCAAAUAGAGUCGUCAGGGCCCGCCGGGCGGAUUAGGCCGCCUCGGCCUUCCCCGAGGACGCCAGGGCGACUGCGCGCGUGAGCAUCACGCGUGCGGGGUCACCGGGCGCGGGCUGGCCGGGCCCCUGCGGUUACCGAUAAAGUCAAAUGUUGCGUGGAGAGCGUUUGGCACAGUGCCUGACCCCCAGUCCUGUCCUCAAGAGUUUUGGCAAAUCCCCACCCAGCUUUCCUGGAGCUGGCCUCCUCGAAGGCUGAAGGCUCCUACGCGUGCAAGGAAAGCCGGAUCACCCUCCUCGCCAAUCAUCCCGAGAGCCGCGAGCCUCCCCUUCCAUUCCUCUACUACCACCGGCCCCCAUCACACCCCUCCCCCCGCCGCAGCACCUGGACUAUCAUGCUCCGCAGAGAAUCUCAUCUACCUGAUUGAUUAAACAAGGAGGCCAUGGAGACUGAGAGAGCUCUGAUGCCUUGGUAGCCCAUGGAAGCAAACCCAAACUUAAGCCUGGAAUGAAUGCCUCGAGGUUAUGAAUUUGAGACCUAAGGAUAACCAAUCACCAAAAAACCACCCAGGCUUUUUCAAGUAGGGCAACUGCCUAAGCUGUCGUCAAGCAAAUAAUUGCUUGCUUUGCUUUUGCCUCUUCUCUAUAAAAGUCUUUCUCCUAGCUCCUGUCAUUGUAGUGCUUCCAAUCAUGUCACAUUUGGCAAUGCCCAAUCCCUGCUCAAAUAAACUCUUAAAAAUUGCAA